rnacentral:rRNA from 2 species
UACGGAGGGUGCGAGCGUUGUCCGGAUUUAUUGGGUUUAAAGGGUGCGUAGGUGGCCUAUUAAGUCAGUGGUGAAAUACAGCCGCUUAACGGUUGAGGUGCCAUUGAUACUGAUGGGCUUGAAAUAAUUGGAGGCUGCCGGAAUGGAUGGUGUAGCGGUGAAAUGCAUAGAUAUCAUCCAGAACACCGAUUGCGAAGGCAGGUGGCUACGAUUGGUUUGACACUGAGGCACGAAAGCAUGGGGAGCAAACAGG